GGGAAUAACUGUACAUAGUUCGUUGAAAGUAGCAUCACAUGUAGAUAGGUUGGUCAAAACGGCUUUUGGCUCAUUGGCCUUUAUCUGCCAGAACAUUGAGUAUAGAUGUUGGGAGGUCAUGUUGUAGUUGUAUAAGACGUUGGUGAGGCCGUAUUUAGAGUAUUGU